UGGCGGUGUGCAAAGGACACACAGGCGGAAGAUUAUGUAAAUUUUUGUCGCCUCAAUGUCGUUGUCAUCCGCUCGUCGGCGUUGGCGUCGCGCUUUUUGCAUGUUUUCUUGGCGUUUUUUGAGGUUUUUCCUUUGACUACGCUCACGGUGCAUUGGCAUCUGCGGGCCAAGUGACCAUAAAUUAUGCGAGUGGCAGAACCGUCUGUAUGUUUGUAUGUAUGUAUGCGCGUGUGCGUGUUAUAAAAUAUUUGUUGCAUACUUUCUAGCGACAAAUGAGUUAUGAAAAUGUACAAAAAAUGCUUCAACUUGUAGAUAUGAAAAAAUAAUCGCCUGACCCUCCCUGCUCUGCCUCUUGCGGUUGGCUGUGUGUGUGUGUGUGUGCGUUGCCCACCUGUAGGCGGAAGUAAUUUAAAAAUAUCCGGUAACUGACAGCUUGUUGCGCGUCGUUCGCUCACCCUCGCCGCGUAAACCGGCCUUGGUAACGAGCAGCACUAGUACAACAACAACAACAACAACUGUGCCUAGCAGACCGCCAGUUUGCGCGCUUGAUUGGCAGCAGGCUAUUUGAGCGGUGUCAAAAAUGAAAGAAAUAAUUGCUUGGGUGUCAAUGCACACCAGGGAGUUUUUAAUUCGCUGCCUCCUCGGUGGCUGCGUCAUGUUUGUGUGUGUGUGCGUUAAGCAGCAUUUCUUCACGCUUUAAUGUAGUAGCAGAACAUGAAUGCCGGCGCAAAACACUUAAAUAUUCAGGCUUUCUCUACCCAAAAUGCCUGCCUCAAAUGACAGUGGCAGCAGCAUACGGACAAGUUUGUUACCGACAUCAUCACAGAAUUGAAAGCUAGGAGUUGGUGCCACACAUCAAUUAAACCACAAAUAUCUGGCCAUUGGUUUGUCGAGAGGUCACUGAACUUGGCGAGCAGCAAAUUUCUCACAUGGAACGCGUCGUGAAACCAGACUGUGGCGCCAGCUUUAAUGGUAAAUCAACUGGUAUUAAUACGAAUCACACUAUACCGACAGGCUGAAAACCCCCCAAAGAAAAAUGUUGGAUAAAAAGUGUAGCUCGAUUGCAGCGCGUAGGUGUGAGAGAGGAUGAUGCAUUCGGAGCGCAGAAAUCAACACGAAGACAUAACGAAUGUUAAAUAUUAACAGUUACAUAAUAAAGUAACGUCAAUACACUGAUUACUAGUUGAAUGUGGAGGAAAUUAGCGCUAACGUGAUUACUAUAAAAUACUUUCCACAGAAAUUAUUGAUUUUUUUUAGAUAAUUAUUAAUUUUUAGUCAAAUUAAUUUAAUCAAUUAAUUUUUAUAAAACUACUUAAGAUUAGUUAAUAUUAUAAAAGAAACAUCAAAAACUUCAAAUAUGUAAUUAUAUAAUUUAUUGACACAUUUAUCCCUUUCGUCCCGAGUGGUACACAUAUUUACCAGCGCAAUUUUAAAUACCCUUAAAGUCUUAAAUUGCUCUAAAAACGGUAUAAAAUUAUACCAGCCGGUAACUCUAAAUAUUUUUGAAAGUAUGGCAGGCGUAAGUUUUACAGUUUGUCUCUU